AGCCUAGUGUCUCAGUGGCAGAGUACCGGCACAAGUCCGGGGUUCAAAUCCCCGGCUGGGCAA
rnacentral:tRNA from 1 species